rnacentral:rRNA from 1 species
CCUACGGGUGGCAGCAGUGAGGAAUAUUGGUCAAUGGCCGGAAGGCUGAACCAGCCAUGCCGCGUGAAGGUCAGUGCCCUAUGGGCGUUAAACUUCUUUUGUGCGGGAGCAAUAAUGGUCACGUGUGGCCAGACGAGAGUACUGUACGAAUAAGCAUCGGCUAACUCCGUGCCAGCAGCCGCGGUUAUACGGGGGAUGCAAGCGUUAUACGGAUUUUAUGGGUUUAAAGGGUGCGUAGGCUGGGAGGUAAGUCUGCAGUGAAAUGCCCCCGCUCAACGGGGUGAAGUGCCAUUGAUACUGCCGAGCUGGAAUGCAGAUGCGGUGGGAGGAAUGUGUUGUGUAGCGGUGAAAUGCAUAGAGAUCACACAGAACACCGAUUGCGAAGGCAGCUCACGAAUCCGCGAUUGACGCUGAGGCACGAAAGCGUGGGUAUCAAACAGGAUUAGAUACCCGAGUAGUC